rnacentral:rRNA from 1 species
GACGAACGCUGGCGGCGUGCUUAACACAUGCAAGUCGAACGGAAAGGCCUGCUUUCUCUUGUGGUGUGCGGGUACUCGAGUGGCGAACGGGUGAGUAACACGUGUGUCUUCUGCCCCCAACUUCGGUAUAAGCCUGGGAAACUGGGUCUAAUUCCCGAUAGGACUGCAGGGUGGUGCCUGUGGUGGAAAACGUUUUUCUAGUGGUUGGGGAUGAGGUCGCGGCCUGUCAGCUUGUUGGUGGGGUAAUGGCCUACCAAGGCGGCGACGGGUAGCCGGCCUGGGAGGGUGGACGGCCAGAGAGGGAGUGAGAUAAGGCCCAGACUCGGACGGGAGGCAGAAGUGGGGGAGAGGGAGGAAUGGGAGGAAGAGUAAUGCAGCGACGCGGAGGGUGGGAUGACGGCCUGCGGGUUGUAAAGUCCUUUGGGCCGCGAGGAAGCCACCUGGGUGGAGGGGUUGACAGGACAGUGGUAGAAGACGCCGGGGAAAACUACG